AUGUUGGCUUAGAAGCAGCCAUCAUUUAAAGAAAGCGUAAUAGCUCACUGGUCGAGUCGGCCUGCGCGGAAGAUGUAACGGGGCUAAACCAUGCACCGAAGCUGCGGCAGCGAACGUAUCACUUAAAGCGAUUCAGCGGGUUACGAUUGACGGAGCGAAGCGACGUCAAAGCGUAUACAAAGUCGAGUCGGUUUAAGGAUACGUUCGUUGGGUAGGGGAGCGUUCUGUAAGCCUGCGAAGGUGGCCUGUGAGGGUUGCUGGAGGUAUCAGAAGUGCGAAUGCUGACAUAAGUAACGAUAAAGCGGGUGAAAAGCCCGCUCGCCGGAAGACCAAGGGUUCCUGUCCAACGUUAAUCGGGGCAGGGUGAGUCGACCCCUAAGGCGAGGCCGAAAGGCGUAGUCGAUGGGAAACGGGUUAAUAUUCCCGUACUUGGUGUUACUGCGAAGGGGGGACGGAGAAGGCUAUGUUGGCCGGGCGACGGUUGUCCCGGUUUAAGCGUGUAGGUGUGUGUUCCAGGUAAAUCCGGUUCACUUUAACACUGAGGCGUGACGACGAGGCACUACGGUGCUGAAGCAACAAAUGCCCUGCUUCCAGGAAAAGCCUCUAAGCAUCAGGUAACAUCAAAUCGUACCCCAAACCGACACAGGUGGUCAGGUAGAGAAUACCAAG
rnacentral:rRNA from 1 species